rnacentral:rRNA from 1 species
AUUGAACGCUGGCGGCAUGCUUUACACAUGCAAGUCGAACGGCAGCGCGGGCUUCGGCCUGGCGGCGAGUGGCGAACGGGUGAGUAAUGCAUCGGAACGUGCCCAGUAGUUGGGGAUAGCCCGGCUAAAGCCGGAUUAAUACCGCAUACGACCUGAUGGUGAAAGCGGUGGACCGAAAGGCCUCGCGCUAUUUGAUCGGCCGAUGUCGGAUUAGCUAGUUGGUGGGGUAAAGGCUUACCAAGGCGACGAUCCGUAGCUGGUCUGAGAGGACGACCAGCCACACUGGGACUGAGACACGGCCCAGACUCCUACGGGAGGCAGCAGUGGGGAAUUUUGGACAAUGGGGGCAACCCUGAUCCAGCCAUGCCGCGUGAGGGAAGAAGGCCUUCGGGUUGUAAACCGCUUUUGUUCGGGAAGAAAUCCUCUGGGCUAAUACACCGGGGGGAUGACGGUACCGGAAGAAUAAGCAACGGCUAACUACGUG